rnacentral:misc_RNA from 1 species
AACGCACAUUGCGCCCGCCAGCAUUCUGGCGGGCAUGCCUGUCCGAGCGUCAUUUCAACCCUCAAGCACGGCUUGGUAUUGGGGCACUAGGUGUGAGCGUAGGCCCUGAAAACUAGUGGCGGACAGCCGAAGGGCCCGGGCGUAGUAGAAAUAUGUCGUCCCGGAGUUCCCGGUGUUUCCCCAGCCAUUAAACCCCCAAUGGUAUACAGAAGGUUGACCUCGGAUCAGGUAGGGUUACCCGCUGAACUUAA